CACGUAGGCGGACCUACAAGUCGGGGGUGAAAUCCCGGGGCUCAACCCCGGAACGGCCUCCGAAACUGUGGGUCUGGAGGAUGAGAGAGGCGAGUGGAAUUCCGAGUGUAGAGGUGAAAUUCGUAGAUAUUCGGAGGAACACCAGUGGCGAAGGCGGCUCGCUGGCUCAUUUCUGACGCUGAGGUGCGAAAGCGUGGGGAGCAAACA
rnacentral:rRNA from 1 species